GAGGAUGGGAUUUCUAGUUGGUGCUGAAGCAGUGGAGAAGUUUUAUCUCAUCGUUUCACAAGGCAGGUGAGAUUCAACUCCUCCAACUGCCCAUGCAUUGAAAACUCAACAGGUGGCAAU
rnacentral:precursor_RNA from 9 species